rnacentral:rRNA from 1 species
AGAGUUUGAUCCUGGCUCAGAUUGAACGCUGGCGGCAGGCCUAACACAUGCAAGUCGAGCGGUAGAGAAAAGCUUGCUUUUCUUGAGAGCGGCGGACGGGUGAGUAAUGCCUAGGAAUCUGCCUGGUGGUGGGGGAUAACGUUCGGAAACGGACGCUAAUACCGCAUACGUCCUACGGGAGAAAGCGGGGGACCUUCGGGCCUCGCGCCAUCAGAUGAGCCUAGGUCGGAUUAGCUAGUUGGUGAGGUAACGGCUCACCAAGGCGACGAUCCGUAACUGGUCUGAGAGGAUGAUCAGUCACACUGGAACUGAGACACGGUCCAGACUCCUACGGGAGGCAGCAGUGGGGAAUAUUGGACAAUGGGCGAAAGCCUGAUCCAGCCAUGCCGCGUGUGUGAAGAAGGUCUUCGGAUUGUAAAGCACUUUAAGUUGGGAGGAAGGGCAGUAAGCGAAUACCUUGCUGUUUUGACGUUACCGACAGAAUAAGC